UAUCUCUGUAGAGUCUGCAUAUCAAUAAGCGGAGGAAAAGAAACUAACAAGGAUUCCCUUAGUAACGGCGAGUGAAGCGGGAAGAGCUCAAAUUUGAAAUCUUCAAGGUUCUGACCUUGACGAAUUGUAGUUUAAAGAAGUGUUUUCGGUUAGAGGAGUAGCUAAAAGUUCCUUGGAAUAGGGACAUCAUAGAGGGUGAGAAUCCCGUAUUUGAUUAUUCAUUCUAGCUUUGUGAUACACUUUCAAAGAGUCGGAUUGUUUGGGAAUGCAGUCCAAGAUGGGUGGUAAAUUUCAUCUAAAGCUAAAUAUUGGCGAGAGGCCGAUAGCGAACAAGUACCGUGAGGGAAAGAUGAAAAGAACUUUGAAAAGAGAGUUAAACAGUACGUGAAAUUGUCAAAAGGGAAGCGUUUGACACCAGGUGUUGUUUUUCCGAAAAUCAAUUACAAAUGCUUGAUUUGCAGGUUGUAUUGACCUUAUCAGCUUCUGCACUUUGGUUUCGGAGUCUCUCUUGAUGCACUUUUCGGUUAACAAGUCAACAUCAAUUUCCUUUGUUGUAAAAGAGUAAUGCGGAAGGUGGCUUUCAAUUUCGGAUGAAGUGUUUAUAGCCCUAUACUUCUAGCAGUCGGAGAGAUUGAGGUCUGCAGCGUAGAUCCUUCGGGGUUAGAUACAUUUGUGCUAAGUUGUAGCUUUUCAUAGACAACUUGUUGACUAUGUUUAGUCAUGCGGCUUACUCGCUUAUGCUAUUUUACCUACGCUUAGGAUGUUGAAGACUCUAAGAGAUA
rnacentral:rRNA from 1 species